GACUGGAGGUCUUGACUUCCUGUCUCCUGGAGCUAAGGAGAGUUAAGAUACCUUAUCUCUGUUCCUGCAUGGAUAAAACCUACAUUGAAGUGACAUUAAAGUAUUCCUCUCUGCUGAGAAGAUUAACCUGAAGAUCUGUGAACAGCAAGCUUAAACUAAGCACAGACAGUCUUGGUGAGGGCCUGAGGCAAACUCCAGCCUGGCCCAGUGAAGAAUGUCUUUGUCUUUGAAGAAUGUCUCUAUGUCUUUGGUGAAGACCUCAGGGUUCCUUGGCAAUUCAUUUUCAUUUGUUCUCUUCUCAUUUGAUCAUAUUUAAUGCAAUUCUUCUGGAAUGGGAAGAGGAAGAAUAAAAGAAAAAGAAAAGAGCAAAAAAAGAAAAAGAUCCAUGAUUCCUUAGGUGGGAAGGGAGAUUGAAGUCCUGAAUGAUUCUUUUUGUUCCCAGUUUGACUUUUCUUGUCAGAUAUUCUGUAGUGGUUUGCCAUUUCCUUCUCCGGUUGAUUUUACAGAAUGGACUAGGUUCCCUUCUCACCUCUGGCACAUAAUGACUUCAAUAUACUGAACAAGUCACUGAAACACUUGGGAAUACAAGAGUUUUGACACCAGGAAAAAAUCUUCCAAAACAUUUGGAAUUGUUCACAAAUUAAAUAAGCUUCCUAAAAGGUAACAAAUGGGUUCCAUUUCUUGGGGAUUUUUAAGCUAAGAUUAAAUGCUCCUUUGGUAGGUAUAUUAUAGUGGAGAUUCCUUUCAUAUAUGGAUCAUACAUAAAGUCUACUGAGAUUCCUAGAACUCAAAUUCUGUAAGUCUAGUAAACUGUACCUUGAUAAAAGUCUUCUCAUCUGUAAUUCCCUGAAGUAAUGAAAUCAGAAAUCCAGAUUAAAAACAAAUUAAGGACAAAACAAAACAUUUUAUAAAUAU